CAAGGCGACGAUCCCUAGCUGGUCUGAGAGGAUGACCAGCCACACUGGAACUGAGACACGGUCCAGACUCCUACGGGAGGCAGCAGUGGGGAAUAUUGCACAAUGGGCGCAAGCCUGAUGCAGCCAUGCCGCGUGUAUGAAGAAGGCCUUCGGGUUGUAAAGUACUUUCAGCGGGGAGGAAGGUGUUGUGGUUAAUAACCGCAGCAAUUGACGUUACCCGCAGAAGAAGCACCGGCUAACUCCGUGCCAGCAGCCGCGGUAAUACGGAGGGUGCAAGCGUUAAUCGGAAUUACUGGGCGUAAAGCGCACGCAGGCGGUCUGUCAAGUCGGAUGUGAAAUCCCCGGGCUCAACCUGGGAACUGCAUUCGAAACUGGCAGGCUUGAGUCUUGUAGAGGGGGGUAGAAUUCCAGGUGUAGCGGUGAAAUGCGUAGAGAUCUGGA
rnacentral:rRNA from 3 species